AAAGUCAGCUGGAUGAUCGCGGAUGAUAUGAUUCUGAGGAAAGUCCGGGCACCUGAUAAACAAGAUGCCGGAUAACGUCCGGCGGGCUGUUGCUUAAGCUGCAGUUUAGGGAAAGUGCCACAGAAAUGAUACCGCCUUUGGGUAAGGGUGAAAUGGUGCGGUAAGAGCGCACCGCGCGUUUGGUAAUAAACGUGGCAGGGCAAACCCCCAGAAAUGGGGGCUUUUUCAUUGGAAGAUCAAUCAAUAAGCUGUGCUUAUUUUAGUACGCAUGAAGUUGUAUAUAUAAUACAUAUUGUCUUUCAUU
rnacentral:RNase_P_RNA from 1 species